rnacentral:rRNA from 1 species
AUUGAACGCUGGCGGCAGGCCUAACACUUGCAAGUCGAGCGGAUGAAGGGAGCUUGCUCCUGGAUUCAGCGGCGGACGGGUGAGUAAUGCCUAGGAAUCUGCCUGGUAGUGGGGGAUAACGUCCGGAAACGGGCGCUAAUACCGCAUACGUCCUGAGGGAGAAAGUGGGGGAUCUUCGGACCUCACGCUAUCAGAUGAGCCUAGGUCGGAUUAGCUAGUUGGUGGGGUAAAGGCCUACCAAGGCGACGAUCCGUAACUGGUCUGAGAGGAUGAUCAGUCAAACUGGAACUGAGACACGGUCCAGACUCCUACGGGAGGCAGAAGUGGGGAAUAUUGGCCAAUGGGCGAAAGCCUGAUCAAUCCAUGCCGCGGGUGUGAAGAAGGUCUUCGGAUUGUAAAGCACUUUAAGUGGGGAGGAAGGGCAGUAGUUAAUACCUUGCUGUUUUGACGUUACCAACAGAAUAAGCACCGGCUAACUUCGUG